rnacentral:SRP_RNA from 1 species
ACGAUCAGCUGCGAACCCCGCCAGGCCCGGAAGGGAGCAACGGUAGCAGUGACAUCGUGUGCCGGGGUGUGGCUGGCAGGG